GCAGCCUUAUCUACCGCCUUACGAUAGAACACAGAGAUUAGAGUAUUUACAUUUGGUUUAUUUUUUUAUCCAGACAUUCUUUUACAAGCGUCAAACAAAUGUCAAAUCUCUACAGUGUCAGACAGCCUAGGAGAUAACGUUACACCCUAUUGCACAGGAGGGCACAGCUUGGACAUAUCUCAGUGUGUCUCCAGCUAACAAACAGGCCGACUCUCCGGGAGAUCCCCCAUGUGUUGUCAUGGCAGUCCUCCAAACACAGUAGGGAUGCAUUUAGGGGCUUUGUAUUUCCUGUGUUUACCAAGCGUCUUGGGCAAUCCCGCAGUGAGGCAGGCGCAGGAUGCCUUCUCCACAAUGGCAGCAGUGAAGUCGUUGGAUCCUUCACGGAGGAACGGCACACACACAAGCAGAGGAGGGAAGCUAAUCCCGGAUGACAAUAGUGUGCAAGGCCUGAGCUGUUAUGUCGCAUUUCCGUGGUGCUGACUAGAAUGCUAAUAACAGACUCCACACUUCACUUUCCCACUCAUCACGUCUUAACUAAGCAGAACUCAGCAUUUGGUGCAAUGCUACGCGGAGAUCUUUGUAGGCCAUAAGUGGAUUUGUCAAGCAGGAAACCGGGCUGUAUUUAAAGAAGGAUCUAAGUAAAGAGUGGCGUCCUUCAUCCCUCAGUGAGUCUGCUGUCUAAUGAGGGGCUUAGAGCCAUUACUUCAUUGCCAAGUGCUUUGGCUUUACCAUCAAGUUAUACAGCCUAUCUGCACUUGCCUCCUUCUUUAAGAUGCUUGGAAUAUCACCAUUAUCAUCCCAUUAUAAUAUGAAAGAAGAAAAACAAACUGAGGAAAUAUGCUAACAAAUCAUCUACAGCACAAAAGCUCCUCAUCUCUGACAAGAUAAGGUUGCUCAUGACAAACAUCUGGUACUGGCCAUGCUGUCCACACUGAAUCACCACCAUCAGAGUGCAUGUGCACACUUUUAGGACACUACCCUCCCCCCGCACAUUCACCCCAUGUUAUGUUCCUGGAAGCUUGGAAAGAAGUAAUCAAUGAGUCAUGUGUCCUGAUAACAACCAACUCCCCAUGGGGCAUCUUCAAAGGGCUCCUGAGGAGAUGGAGAGAGAAAGAGGCAUUGCUCUCCAUGGGGUAAUUACAAGUUGGAGCUCAAUGGUUUCUUCUCCUUUUCAGAAGAGAGCUUAAAGACAGUCCUGUAAACAAUUCAACGAGUCCUGUUAGUGCAGCAGGAGGUGUCUUCAACCACUGUGCCCCAACUGGUGAUGUCAUGGACACAAAUUCAAACUGUACUCCACUGUGUUAAGGUGCAAUGGUUACUCGGUAAAAAUAUUAUACAACAGCUGAAAAGUCAGGAGACACACAUGGAGACAAUUUCAUGUUUGGUGCAGCUGAGUACACGGCUCUCUGUCCCGUGACAACCAGCCAAGUGUUUGGGUGCUUCUCAGUUAAAUGGGUAAUAAACUAGACAAACACAACAGCGAACAAACCUGUCUGGCAGUCUUAAAGCAUUUUGUUUGUCUGCCCUGCUUGGAACAAGUGGUCAUCCAAUCAUGGAGCUCAUUUAUUUUAUAAGACACAUUAAAUCAUAUGCUCAUUGAAAAGAAAAUUUGUCAUUGCAGCAGCUGCACAAAAGAAUCCGGGAGUGUUGCAUAUCUGUGUUUUCAGGUGAAACAUGAUCACAAUAUCCAUGAAAGUUAGAUAGUCAACGCUUGAGAGAGUGUGACCAAAUUGAGACUGUAUGGUUGAGGAUGAUAUGACUCCCAUGAGCCUUGUCAGCACAGCAGUAGAAAAACCAGUCAUUAGCUCCAUUUAAUGAGACAAUGCAAUAAAGAAAUGUGUGUGCACUCAGCCUCUGGGUGAUUGUGUCAAUGAAAAAUUCUUCAAAAUAAAACUCUUAGCUUUUUUCUGCUGCAAGGCAAAGCGAAAGCGUGUGUGCAUGGUAUUUGAAAGGUGCAUUACUAAUUUUGUAUUAUUGUGUCAUGCAAUUAUGGACAACUUGAUAUGUUUAGGCUGUUGCAUAAUGUAGUUGAGGAAAACUUGAG